rnacentral:rRNA from 1 species
GGCUCAGAACGAACGCUGGCGGCGUGCUUAACACAUGCAAGUCGAACGGUAACAGGGACUUCGGUCCGCUGACGAGUGGCGCACGGGUGGGUAACGCGUGGGUAUCUGCCUAUUAGUGGGGGACAACUUGGAGAAAUCCAAGCUAAUACCGCAUAAUCUCUACGGAGGAAAGCGGGGGAUCUUCGGACCUCGCGCUGAUAGAUGGGCCCGCGUCUGAUUANCUAGUUGGUAAGGUAAUGGCUUACCAAGGCGAUGAUCAGUAACUGGUUUGAGAGGAUGAUCAGUCACACUGGAACUGAGACACGGUCCAGACUCCUACGGGAGGCAGCAGUGGGGAAUAUUGCACAAUGGGCGCAAGCCUGAUGCAGCGACGCCGCGUGCGGGAAGAAGGCCUUAGGGUUGUAAACCGCUUUCAGAUGGGAAGAAGGGAUGAGAGUUAAUAACUCUCUGACUUGACGGUACCAUCAGAAGAAGCACCGGCUAAUUUCGUGCCAGCAGCCGCGGUAAUACGAAAGGUGCAAGCGUUGUUCGGAUUUACUGGGCGUAAAGCGAGUGUAGGUUGUUUAUUAAGUCGGAUGUGAAAUCCCGGGGCUCAACCCCGGAACUGCAUUCGAUACUGAUAGGCUAGAGUUCGGGAGGGGUAAGCGGAAUUCCGUGUGUAGCAGUGAAAUGCGUAGAUAUACGGAGGAACACCUGAGGCGAAGGCGGCUUACUGGACCGAUACUG